GUGGGCAUUGCAAGUGUGUUGUGUGUGAGAAUUUACACACAGCAAUCAAUUUAAACAUUUCUUAAAUUCAAUCUGUGUCAAGCUCCUAUCAUAAUGGAGCUGAUGGUGAUGGAGGGGCAACUUUUUACUUAUUUCUUCUCUAAAGAGCCAUCUGAGCUGUUGUCAAGUGUCUCACUUCCCAACUGGAAACUAGCAGUGAGUGUUUCCAGCGAGACUGCGGGUACAUGAGCACUGGCUUCACCAGCUGCAGCUGUGCUCUGUGUUUAUCCUAACGGCUCUCUACCCCAGCUGUAUACCGGGACAGGAGGCCCUCUGUCGGCCUGUCAUACUAACUCAGCCCGCUGGCUCUAACUGCGGCCAUUUUCUGCUGACUAACACACACACACACACACACACACACACACACACACACACAAACCGAGAGAAGCAGGCUUGAGGUGAACUUCAACUUGGCCUUCCGCCGUCGCUUUGUGACGAACAGACCGGGGGCAGCCGGGGCCUGCCGCUGCUUCCAAAGCCCCAAACUAAACAACUUUCACCCGCAACUGCAUGCGAUGAUACACACACACCAAGGCAUGCUGUCCGCUUACGCCAGGGGUCGGAGACCACAUUUGCCAGUGGGAUAAAGCCUGUAUAACGCCAGUACAUCCCGUUAUGCGGGACCGAGGCACCAAACUUCAUUCAAAAACUACGCCAAUUGGAAGAACGGCAACACCGAUUCUAAAAGUUAAGAUUUUAUUAAAGUAUGUGGUGUUUUGCGUGUCGUGUGUGUGCCGAAUUUAAGGGUGGAUCCUGACAAUUCAGCACUGUUUCAAGUUGUGUUGUGUCAGGUGUGUACAUUCGCCGGCGCGCAGUCGAUAUUUUAUUUCCCAGAUUUUUUAAGGGAAUUUAGAGACAAAAUCUGUCCACAAGUCAACGUCACAUAUCCAGCCUAUAAUGCUCUAACGCUGCCACAAACUAACAGCCGGUGAGAAACAGUGGAGAGAGGCUUGCUGACAUUCAGAUAAAUGGAUGAACUAUCGCCGCUUACUGCUCCACUUUGUGCUGCGUAGCUGCUACUCAUUCAACUCCUCGCAUUGCGUCUUUUUUGGAAAACACGGAACAGCACACCAAUAGGAAGAGACACUCCACUACAUUAGACUAUUGUACCGGAACAGGUUUAGUCCUACCAUUUCGAAGCUGAGCCGCCACCGGGGGAAGUUAAAGCUGAUCUUAACGCCUGCCCAUCUUGCACUGUCGGUCGUUAUCAUUCCAUAUUCAUUUCCAUCAUCGUGCGCGUGCAAGGUGGAGUAAAUCCGCGGUGCUCGAGACCAGAAGCGUCCCGCGUCAGCUUCGGGAUCAACGGCAAUACCCCCCACCCCCUCCGACUGGUAGCUGCGGCAGAACAGAAUAGACUACAUUCACCUUCUACCUCUCUUCCUCUCAGCUCUGUCUCUCACUGUACUUGUCCUCUGCUCGCACUCUCACACUAUAAGGCGGCUCUGUUUUCCACUCUUUGUAUCCUUUCGUUUAUUUCUCACCUUUUCCUCUCCCACUGCAUUACUUUGUCUUACUCAAUGUUUCCACUAUUUCUCACUCUUUUGUCAAUUUAUUUACCUCUUCCUUCACUGUAACGUUAUGUUUUGCUGUGUUUUCUACAUGGUAAUACAUUUUUCAGAACCCAUAGAAAUUCUAGACUACAGUAUGUUGACUCACUGAGGGGUGUCAAACAUAUGGCCCGCGGGCUGGGACCGGCCACCAAAAAUCCGCGAAAAAUAUCACAGUGGUCAUUAAUUCAAAACUUUCAAUAUUAUGCACUGCUAUUACUGAUCAAUGUUGGGUUGGUUACUCAAUAAAUGUUAUUUAUUACUCAUUACUCUUUUCAUAAUGAAUAUUAUUACUUUACUUAUUAAUGUAAUAGUAUUGCUAGUACUGUCUUAUUGUUACUGAUUUGUCCACUGGUCACAGAAAGAAGUAAAAUACAAAAUUAUUCAGUUCCAUUUGAGACAAGAUGCACAGCAGCACCAUCCAUGACCCUGUUUGACCUGAAUAGAGAAGAACUUUAAUUUGUGUUGUCAGGGCCGGCCCAAGGCAUAAGCGAACUAAGCAGCUGCUUAGGCCCCCCUGACCACUAAGGGGCCCCCAAGAACAAUUAACUUAAUUAAAGUAAUACAUUUUUUUUUUCCAUGCGUGAGUGAUGAUGAUUCAUAUAUUAUCAAAUGCACAUUCUUGUCCAAACCCCCCUUUUUAUUUUGGAGGAGGCACUGACUCAGCCCAGGGGCAACCCACCUCCUCAGGAGCAGCCAAGGCUGAUGAAUCAGGUCCAUCUCUAUCCUCUGCUCCAUCCACUGUGCCCACUGUCCUCUCUGUAACCUCAGCUGUACCUGGUCCAUCUCUAUCCUCUGCUCCAUCCACUGUGCCCACUGUCCCUUCUGUGUCUCAUACAACCUCAGCUGUACCUGGUCCUUCAUCUUUGGUCAUCGAGAUUGAUGUGUCUUCUUCAGCAUCCAGUUUGGAGCAGGGAUCAGCAGCUCCGCCAGUUGACCCAGCUGAGUGUCCCUGUUUCCUGUCAGACUCAGAAAGGACUGAACAGGUAUUAAGAGGGCCGCUGCCUAUAAAGGACACAUUCACAUUCCCAAAAAGACACAUGGCAGUAAUAGAGGGCCCCAAAAUCAAAUUUUGCUUAGGGCCCCAUGGAGGCUGUGUGUUGUUAACAUUACACUGAUUCUUGAGAAGUGGGAGGUGACAUAGACCUGAUGGAGUUGACCCAUAUCUGAUAGUGGUGACGAAAACUUAAAUUUGUAGUUGUUUUAGCUAUACUUAAGCUCUCAACUAAAUGAAACCAAUCAAAUACAUGUCGUUUAAAACAUUAAAACAAACAAUGACUAUGUUGUUUAUAAACAUUUUAUUCACAUUGGCUUAACAAGUGUGUAUUUCAUCUGAACAAAUAUCAGAACAGUCUGCAGUGCAUCUGCUAGGGUAACAAAGUCACUUUUAAAACUCUGAAUGUUGAUUUUCUUUCAAUCAUAACUAUAAGAAUACAAACAAACUGUAAUAACUACAGUAUACUUUUCUGAAUACAAUGUUGCAAAACAACAAAAUGUGUAGAUGAAGCAAUUUGCUUACACUUACAUACAACUUGUGGACGCGUUUUAUCCCAGGUCUCAAGAAUCAGUGAUUAUAACUUAAUGCUUCUUUAUUGGUAAAGCCUGUUAGGCCUGGUACCAUUCCUGGGGAUAGGGUUGGGAAUGCUGUUUUGUUCCUCUGUAGACAAAUCCUUUAUAAAGAGAGAAUGACAAAACAUUCUUUUACCUUUUAUCUUGAGUACCAGUAGUGAGUUUUAUGUAAUAAUUCAUGGUAUUGUUCAUCUACAUUGUCACCAAGGCCUGUACUAUAGAAGUUGUAAGUAGGUCAUAACCAGUGUUGGCCAGUAAGGCAUUAUCAGUAAUAAUAUUACAGAAUUCUUUUUAAAAUAAAAAAUAAACAAGAAUUGGUUACAA